GCGGUUUUUUAGUCUAUUCAGAGGAACCUGUUCUAUAAUCGAUAGUCCACGAUUUACUUUACCUUUAUUAUAAAUUUGUAUAUCGUCGUAGUUUGAAUAUUUUAAAAGAAUUUAAAUAUUCAAAAUUUAUUUUUUAAAUAAUAUCAGAUCAAGGUAUAGUUUAUAUAAAGGUAGAAAUGGGUUACAUUAAUUUUAAUUAAGGAUAAUUUAUUGAAAAUAAAUUUGAAUAAGGAUUUGAAAGUAAUUUUUUAAAAAUUAAAGAAUGAUUUUAGCUCUAAAAAAUGUACAUAUCGCCCGUCGCUUUCACUCUAAGGUGAAAUAAGUCGUAACAAAGUAGGCUUACUGGAAGGUGUGCCUAGAAAGA
rnacentral:rRNA from 1 species